GCCCCCGUAGCUCAGGUGGACAGAGCAGCAGUUUCCUAAACUGCGUGUCGGGUGUUCGAGUCACCCCGGGGGCACCA
rnacentral:tRNA from 1 species